UGAUUGUGUGUGUGUGUGUGUGUGUGUGUGUGUGUGUUUUAGAGGGUGUUAAAGACACUCGCCCACAUUAAACACUCAAUAAUACACCAGCCACGACAUUCAAACAGCAUCAAGAGAAAAACAACAACAACUGAAAGGAACUGAGGAGAGAGUUUGGAAGCUCAAGUGCUCCGAUCACAGACUCAGGAAAGGCAGAGAUUAUUAGCUUAGCUCACUCACACACACACACACACACACACAGAGCGGAGGAGCACGUCACAAACACUGCUGAGCACGACACACACAUCUGCAC